AUAUAAAUAAAGAGAAAGAAUGACCUGUGGCGAUCCAGCAGGUGUAUUACAAUAUACAUAAAGAGAUUGAAUGACCUGUGGCGAUCCAGCAGGUGUAGUACAAUGUACAAUAUACAUAAAGAGAAUGAAUGACCUGUGGCGAUCCAGCAGGUGUAGUACGACCUGUGGCGAUCCAGCAGGUGUAGUACAAUAUACAUAAAGAGAAUGAAUGACCUGUGGCGAUCCAGCAGGUGUAGUACA
rnacentral:lncRNA from 1 species